rnacentral:rRNA from 1 species
AUUGAACGCUGGCGGCAUGCCUUACACAUGCAAUUCGAACGGCAGCGGGGACUUCGGUCUGCCGGCGAGUGGCGAACGGGUGAGUAAUGUAUCGGAACGUACCAUUCAGUGGGGGAUAACUAUCCGAAAGGAUAGCUAAUACCGCAUAUUCUGUGAGCAGGAAAGAAGGGGAUCGCAAGACCUUGCGCUGAUUGAGCGGCCGAUAUCAGUUUAGCUAGUUGGUGCGGUAACGGCUCACCAAGGCUACCAUCUGUAGCGGGUCUGAGAGGAUGAUCCGCCAAACGGGGACUGAGAGACGAUCAAGACUACUACGGGGGGCAGAAGUGGGGAAGUUUGGACGAUGGGCGACAGCCUGUUCCAGCCAUGCCUGGUGAGUGAAGAAGGCCUUCGGGUUGUAAAGCUCUUUCGGCCGGGAAGAAAUCGCAUCAGCUAAUACCUGGUGUGGAUGACGGUACCGGAAUAAGAAGCACCGGCUAACUACGUGCCAGCCGCCGCCGUAAAAC